UGGGGAAUAUUGGACAAUGGGCGCAAGCCUGAUCCAGCAAUGCCGCGUGAGUGAUGAAGGCCUUAGGGUUGUAAAGCUCUUUCGCACGCGACGAUGAUGGCGGUAGCGUGAGAAGAAGCCCCGGCUAACUUCGUGCCAGCAGCCGCGGUAAUACGAAGGGGGCUAGCGUUGUUCGGAAUUACUGGGCGUAAAGGGCGCGUAGGCGGCCUGUUUAGUCAGAAGUGAAAGCCCCGGGCUCAACCUGGGAAUAGCUUUUGAUACUGGCAGGCUUGAGUUCCGGAGAGGAUGGUGGAAUUCCCAGUGUAGAGGUGAAAUUUCGUAGAUAUUGGGAAGAACACCGGUGGCGAAGGCGGCCAUCUGGACGGACACUGACGCUGAGGCGCGAAAAGCGUGGGGAGCAAACAGGGAUUAGAUACCCUGGUAGUCCACGCCGUAAACGAUGAAUGCUAGACGUCGGGGUGCAUGGCACUUUCGGUGUCGCCGCUAAACGCAUUAAGCAUUCCGCCUGGGGGAGUACGGCCGCAAGG
rnacentral:rRNA from 1 species